UACGGAGGAUGCAAGCGUUAUCCGGAAUUAUUGGGCGUAAAGCGUCCGCAGGUGGCCCUUCAAGUCUGUCGUCAAAGACCGGGGCUUAACCCUGGAAAGGCGAUGGAAACUGAAAGGCUAGAGAGAGGUAGGGGUAGAGGGAAUUCCCAGUGUAGCGGUGAAAUGCGUAGAGAUUGGGAAGAACAUCGGUGGCGAAAGCGCUCUGCUGGACUGCAACUGACACUCAGGGACGAAAGCUAGGGGAGCGAAUGGG
rnacentral:rRNA from 1 species